rnacentral:lncRNA from 1 species
CUCGGUGAGCUCAUGCUGCAGAUUCUUCAAAGAGGAAUUCAAGACGGCUGCCCUUCUUCGAGCGAAGGAAACCAACAAAAAUUCUAUGCUUCAAUGGCCUCAAGUUGUGUAACUUUUAAUUCCAGCUAACUCGGCUGGACAACGUCUAUCUUUUUCUUUUCCGUGCUUCUUCUUUUUUGACUUUGUAACCUGUUUGUCACUUCUUUCUAAUAAAUCACAGUAGGGACUCCACCCCUCCUGUUUACCUUAAAAAAAAAGGAACCGUGUCACCCGGUCGUCGACUUUGGAGGUCGGCCGCCUGAGUGAU